rnacentral:tRNA from 2 species
UGAUGUGGCUCAGUCGGUAGAGCGUCGCCUUGGUAAGGCGGAGGUCACGGGUUCGAUUCCCGUUAUCA